GGAAUAUUGGGCAAUGGGCGCAAGCCUGACCCAGCAACGCCGCGUGAAGGAAGAAGGCUUUCGGGUUGUAAACUUCUUUUAUGUAGGACGAAACAAAUGACGGUACUACAUGAAUAAGCUCCGGCUAACUACGUGCCAGCAGCCGCGGUAAUACGUAGGGAGCAAGCGUUAUCCGGAUUUACUGGGUGUAAAGGGCGUGUAGGCGGGAAAGCAAGUCAGAUGUGAAAACUAUGGGCUCAACCCAUAGCCUGCAUUUGAAACUGUUUUUCUUGAGUACUGGAGAGGCAGGCGGAAUUCCGUGUGUAGCGGUGAAAUGCGUAGAUAUACGGAGGAACACCAGUGGCGAAGGCGGCCUGCUGGACAGCAACUGACGCUAAGGCGCGAAAGCGUGGGGAGCAAACA
rnacentral:rRNA from 1 species